UACAGAGGUCUCAAGCGUUGUUCGGAAUCACUGGGCGUAAAGGGUGCGUAGGUGGCGUGGUAAGUCAGAUGUGAAAGCCCGGGGCUCAACUCCGGAACUGCAUCCGAUACUGCCGUGCUAGAGCACUGAAGAGGUGACCGGAAUUCUCGGUGUAGCAGUGAAAUGCGUGGAUAUCGAGAGGAACACCAAAGGCGAAGGCAGGUCACUGGGCAGUUGCUGACACUGAGGCACGAAGGCCAGGGUAGCGAACGGGAUUAGAUACCCCGGUAGUCCUGGCAGUAAACGGUGCACGCUUGGUGUGGGGACAUUCGACCGUCUCUGCGCCGGAGCUAACGCGUUAAGCGUGCCGCCUGGGAAGUACGAUCGCAAGAUUAAAACUCAAAGAAAUUGACGGGGACCCGCACAAGCGGUGGAGUAUGUGGCUUAAUUCGAUGCAACGCGAAGAACCUUACCUGGUCUUGACAUGCAUUCUGUCGUCGGUGAAAGCCGGCUAGCGUAGCAAUACGCGGUUUGCACAGGUGCUGCAUGGCUGUCGUCAGCUCGUGUCGUGAGAUGUUGGGUUAAGUCCCGCAACGAGCGCAACCCCUGUGGUUUGUUGCCACCCGGUUUCCGGAGCACUCGAACCAGACUGCCUCGAUCAACGAGGAGGAAGGUGGGGAUGACGUCAAGUCCGUAUGGCCCUUACGGCCAGGGCUGCACACGUACUACAAUGCCCAGUACAGAAUGAACCGAAACCGCGAGGUGGAGGAAAUCUCAAAAACUGGGCCCAGUUCAGAUUGGAGUCUGCAACUCGACUCCAUGAAGUUGGAAUCGCUAGUAAUGGCGCAUCAGCUACGGCGCCGUGAAUACGUUCCCGGGUCU
rnacentral:rRNA from 1 species